rnacentral:rRNA from 1 species
GACGACCGCUGGCGGCGUGCUUAACACAUGCAAGUCGAACGGAAAGGCCCUGCUUUUGUUGGGUGCUCGAGUGGCGAACGGGUGUGUAACACGUGAGUAACCUGCCCUUGACUUUGGGAUAACUUCAGGAAACUGGGGCUAAUACCGGAUAGGGGCUCCUGCUGCAUGGUGGGGGUUGGAAAGUUUCGGCGGUUGGGGAUGGACUCGCGGCUUAUCAGCUUGUUGGUGGGGUAGUGGCUUACCAAGGCUUUGACGGGUAGCCGGCCUGAGAGGGUGACCGGCCACAUUGGGACUGGGAUACGGCCCAGACUCCUACGGGAGGCAGCAGUGGGGAAUAUUGCACAAUGGGCGGAAGCCUGAUGCAGCAACGCCGCGUGCGGGAUGACGGCCUUCGGGUUGUAACCCGCUUUCGCCUGUGACGAAGCGUGAGUGACGGUAAUGGGUAAAGAAGCACCGGCUAACUACGUG